rnacentral:rRNA from 1 species
AGCGAACGCUGGCGGCAGGCCUAACACAUGCAAGUCGAACGAACCUUUCGGGGUUAGUGGCGGACGGGUGAGUAACACGUGGGAACGUGCCUUUAGGUUCGGAAUAACUCAGGGAAACUUGUGCUAAUACCGAAUGUGCCCUUCGGGGGAAAGAUUAAUCGCCUUUAGAGCGGCCCGCGUCUGAUUAGCUAGUUGGUUGAGGUAAUGGCUCACCAAGGCGACGAUCAGUAGCUGGUCUGAGAGGAUGAUCAGCCACAUUGGGACUGAGACACGGCCCAAACUCCUACGAGAGGCAGCAGUGGGGAAUCUUGCGCAAUGGGCGAAAGCCUGACGCAGCCAUGCCGCGUGAAUUAUGAAGGUCUUAGGAUUGUAAAAUUCUUUCACCGGGGACGAUAAUGACGGUACCCGGAGAAGAAGCCCCGGCUAACUUCGU